CUUCGCAUCACAUGGAUGACCUCCGUGUUGACAAAUGUCAAGACUGACAAGUCGUUCCUGGAAGAAACAGUUGGCGUAGAGUUCUAGAGGGUGUCCGUCGGAUGUGAACCAAUUAUAUAUCAUUGAUGUAACCAAAAACUAAGUAUUACAGUUUGUGUAUAGAUGUCUUCUCGUAUCGUGGACCAAGUUGGACCAUGUUGGGUCUUCUGAUGUCAUCAAAAACUAAGUAUUACAGUUUGUGUAUCAUCACAGAGUUCAUAGGUGUCUUCUCGUAUUGUGGACCGAGUUUGG